rnacentral:rRNA from 1 species
GAAUGCUGACAUAAGUAACGAUAAAGCGGGUGAAAAGCCCGCUCGCCGGAAGACCAAGGGUUCCUGUCCAACGUUAAUCGGGGCAGGGUGAGUCGACCCCUAAGGCGAGGCCGAAAGGCGUAGUCGAUGGGAAACGGGUUAAUAUUCCCGUACUUGGUGUUACUGCGAAGGGGGGACGGAGAAGGCUAUGUUGGCCGGGCGACGGUUGUCCCGGUUUAAGCGUGUAGGUGUGUGUUCCAGGUAAAUCCGGUUCACUUUAACACUGAGGCGUGACGACGAGGCACUACGGUGCUGAAGCAACAAAUGCCCUGCUUCCAGGAAAAGCCUCUAAGCAUCAGGUAACAUCAAAUCGUACCCCAAACCGACACAGGUGGUCAGGUAGAGAAUACCAAGGCGCUUGAGAGAACUCGGGUGAAGGAACUAGGCAAAAUGGUGCCGUAACUUCGGGAGAAGGCACGCUGACACGUAGGUGAAGUGAUUUACUCAUGGAGCUGAAGUCAGUCGAAGAUACCAGCUGGCUGCAACUGUUUAUUAAAAACACAGCACUGUGCAAACACGAAAGUGGACGUAUACGGUGUGACGCCUGCCCGGUGCCGGAAGGUUAAUUGAUGGGGUCAGCGCAAGCGAAGCUCCUGAUCGAAGCCCCGGUAAACGGCGGCCGUAACUAUAACGGUCCUAAGGUAGCGAAAUUCCUUGUCGGGUAAGUUCCGACCUGCACGAAUGGCGUAAUGAUGGCCAGGCUGUCUCCACCCGAGACUCAGUGAAAUUGAACUCGCUGUGAAGAUGCAGUGUACCCGCGGCAAGACGGAAAGACCCCGUGAACCUUUACUAUAGCUUGACACUGAACAUUGAGCCUUGAUGUGUAGGAUAGGUGGGAGGCUUUGAAGUGUGGACGCCAGUCUGCAUGGAGCCGACCUUGAAAUACCACCCUUUAAUGUUUGAUGUUCUAACGUGGACCCGUUACCCGGGUUGCGGACAGUGUCUGGUGGGUAGUUUGACUGGGGCGGUCUCCUCCUAAAGAGUAACGGAGGAGCACGAAGGUUGGCUAAUCCUGGUCGGACAUCAGGAGGUUAGUGCAAUGGCAUAAGCCAGCUUGACUGCGAGCGUGACGGCGCGAGCAGGUGCGAAAGCAGGUCAUAGUGAUCCGGUGGUUCUGAAUGGAAGGGCCAUCGCUCAACGGAUAAAAGGUACUCCGGGGAUAACAGGCUGAUACCGCCCAAGAGUUCAUAUCGACGGCGGUGUUUGGCACCUCGAUGUCGGCUCAUCACAUCCUGGGGCUGAAGUAGGUCCCAAGGGUAUGGCUGUUCGCCAUUUAAAGUGGUACGCGAGCUGGGUUUAGAACGUCGUGAGACAGUUCGGUCCCUAUCUGCCGUGGGCGCUGGAGAACUGAGGGGGGCUGCUCCUAGUACGAGAGGACCGGAGUGGACGCAUCACUGGUGUUCGGGUUGUCAUGCCAAUGGCACUGCCCGGUAGCUAAAUGCGGAAGAGAUAAGUGCUGAAAGCAUCUAAGCACGAAACUUGCCCCGAGAUGAGUUCUCCCUGAGACUUAAAGUCUCCUGAAGGAACGUUGAAGAC